rnacentral:rRNA from 1 species
ACUCGACUGCAUGAAGCUGGAAUCGCUAGUAAUCGCGAAUCAGCAUGUCGCGGUGAAUACGUUCCCGGGUCUUGUACACACCGCCCGUCACACCAUGGGAGUCGGAAAUGCCCGAAGUCUGUGACCCAACCUGAGAGGGAGGGAGCAGCCGAAGGCAGGUCUGAUGACUGGGUGAAGUCGUAACAAGGUAAC